CUAAGUUUGAUGGCGACCGGCGCACGGGUGAGUAACACGUAUCCAACCUGCCGAUGACUCGGGGAUAGCCUUUCGAAAGAAAGAUUAAUACCCGAUGGCAUAGUUCUUCCGCAUGGUAGAACUAUUAAAGAAUUUCGGUCAUCGAUGGGGAUGCGUUCCAUUAGGUUGUUGGCGGGGUAACGGCCCACCAAACCGACGAUGGAUAGGGGUUCUGAGAGGAAGGUCCCCCACAUUGGUACUGAGACACGGACCAA
rnacentral:rRNA from 2 species